rnacentral:rRNA from 1 species
CCUACGGGAGGCAGCAGUGAGGAAUAUUGGUCAAUGGACGAGAGUCUGAACCAGCCAAGUAGCGUGAAGGAUGACUGCCCUAUGGGUUGUAAACUUCUUUUAUAUGGGAAUAAAAUGUUCCACGUGUGGGAUUUUGUAUGUACCAUAUGAAUAAGGAUCGGCUAACUCCGUGCCAGCAGCCGCGGUAAUACGGAGGAUCCGAGCGUUAUCCGGAUUUAUUGGGUUUAACGGGCGCGUAGGUGGAUUGUUAAGUCAGUUGUGAAAGUUUGCGGCUCAACCGUAAAAGUGCAGUUGAAACUGGAAGUCUUGAGUACAGUAGAGGUGGGCGGAAUUCGUGGUGUAGCGGUGAAAUGCUUAGAUAUCACGAAGAACUCCGAUGGCGAAGGCAGCUCACUGGACUGCAACUGACACUGAGGCUCGAAAGUGUGGGUAUCAAACAGGAUUAGAUACCCGAGUAGUC